GAUGAACGCUGGCGGCGUGCCUAAUACAUGCAAGUCGAGCGAACAGACGAGGAGCUUGCUCCUCUGACGUUAGCGGCGGACGGGUGAGUAACAUGUGGAUAACCUACCUAUAAGACUGGGAUAACUUCGGGAAACCGGAGCUAAUACCGUAUAAUAUAUUGAACCGCAUGGUUCAAUAGUGAAAGACGGUUUUGCUGUCACUUAUAGAUGGAUCCGCGCCGCAUUAGCUAGUUGGUAAGGUAACGGCUUACCAAGGCAACGAUGCGUAGCCGACCUGAGAGGGUGACCGGCCACACUGGAACUGAGACACGGUCCAGACUCCUACGGGAGGCAGCAGUAGGGAAUCUUCCGCAAUGGGCGAAAGCUUGACGGAGCAACGCCGCGUGAGUGAUGAAGGUCUUCGGAUCGUAAAACUCUGUUAUUAGGGAAGAACAAAUGUGUAAGUAACUAUGCACGUCUUGACGGUACCUAAUCAGAAAGCCACGGCUAACUACGUG
rnacentral:rRNA from 1 species